rnacentral:misc_RNA from 1 species
UAUGAACCUUUGAGGGUUGAGCUUGGCGUUUAUUUAUUUAAUUUCGGCAUGUGGGGCUUGCCCUCUCAUCCUUUAUACAACCUGUGGCACUUUUGAAGGGAGACAUUAGUAGACAUUCACUUGUCGAAGGUAUCUCCCUUUACACUACAUACUCUAAUGAUUUACUUUGAAUGUUUUAAACGGCUUAACAGCAUUUAAAUUACAA